AGCACUUGGGCAUCCUAUCAAAGUGGAGAUUCUGAUUCAGUACGUCUGGGGCCUGAUAUUCUGCAUUUCUCACAAGGUCCCAGGUGAUGCCAGU
rnacentral:pre_miRNA from 14 species